GGUUCAACCAUUGCGGAGCAGAAAAUAAAUAUAAUAUAUUUUUAAAAAAGAUAAUAAAAAAGCGGGGAGGCUGAUAUCUUGUAGCUAAUGUGCUUCCAACCUAUUAAAAGGAAAUGCUCUAAAUAUCCUAAUUUAUUUGAUAAAAUCAUAAAAGAGUACCAUAGCAAAAACCUAACUUCCUCGCAGGGCGUCAACUCUUUUUCCCUUCUUCCAUCGUUCGCUUUGGUUUCCACUAAUCGUCAGUUUUUUCCUCCAACCAAAGGAUCACGAUCAGAGAAAUCUUUUUGAUUUGGGUGUGACAAAAGCAUGGUGGAUCUGUGUGAUGACAUCCUUGUUCUCAUCUUCUUGCUCUUGCCCAAGGAUUCCCUUAUUCGCCUUCGUGGCGUCUGCAAGCGGUGGCUCCGUUUGAUAACAAAGAACCCUCUGGUAAGUGACCACCUGACGUACAGAUUCUUAGCCCGCUCUGUCUUACGUUCACCCUCAUACUUUACAAAGAUUCUCUCAUUAUCAUUGUUAUCUGCGGAGUGGGUCAAUUCCCCGGAGCCAUCUCUACAUUUCAUGCCCUGCCAUAGCAGCAUCAAAAUGCAGCUUGAAUCAACGAGCUCCUCUUCUGCACAAGGAAAGUAGAGGCAUCUGAGCCCAAAAGGCUCCAUGAUGAUUGCUAUCUCUGCAACCCCUGCACCCAGGAGUGGCUUAUCAUCCCUAAACCAAGUCGGUGCCAUUUCACUUUCAAUUUGCUGAGAAUAGGGCUGGCAUUCAAUCCUGCUGAAAACACUUCAAGCGGAAGGGCCACCUACAAGAUUGUCAGUGCUCACAAAAUUGGUGAUUUCAAUGGAAAUAUGCAUGGCUUUGAGAUCUAUUGCUCCGAGACACAAGAGUGGCGUGUCUCACAGGAGAUCUGCUCUGAACCCUCUGGUCCCAAGGAACUCUACUUUAAAGUUAGCCAGAAUUGUGCUGUUUACCACUGGUCUGUGCUGCAUUGGCUCGACGACCAUGGUUACAUUCUUGCCUUAGAUCCUAUAGCCGAAGCCUCCUGAUGGAUAUGUUUGCCUCUAAACAUGAUGUCAUCCUACCAUCGGCUGAAUUCUGGUUGGUUGGCUGAGAGCUGCGGUAGCCUCUACUUUGUGACAACUACCUCUUCCUCUGUGUAUGUUGAUCUUGGCAAUAUGCUGACUGUCUGAAAGAUGAGAGACAACCCACAGGAUGAGUGGACUCCACCCCUAUAUUGCAUCGACUUGGAUGCACAGCUUGCUACAGUCAGUUGGAAAUUACUUAGUCGUUGGGGCAUCCCCAUAUUCCGUUCCUGUGACCCUGUGGGCCUUGAGCAAAAGGGCAAUAUUAUCUUGCUUAGAACUGAACGGGGUAAGACUAUGUGCUAUAACCACAAAAGCAAGAAGCUGCAGAUGGAUCUUGAUGUUCAAGUGACUGACUCACUUUGUUUUAUCCACUAUUUUCCCUACAUUCCAACCACCAAGUCCCUCACCAAGUAGUUUUGGAAUAUCUCCUCCCUCCAUAAUGGGAGAUGAGUUGGUGAGAAUGUAGUUGCUGCUAGAGUUUGUUCUGGCAGAGAACAAAGGUAAAUUAUGUCAGCCAUCUGGGCAAAUCUCAAGUGUCAUCUCAGAAGAACAAGCAAGAGGGAAAUUUCUAUGUAUGUUAAGGCAAAUUUCUAUGUAAGUCAUAUUUUAUUUCCAGGUGGAAGAUGAGGGAUACAGAUUGUAUCUAAUUUUAAUAACCGGACAUAAUAAAAAAACUGUCAGUUCACUACCGUCUUUUUGUAAUUUUAAAUGAAUAUCUGAGCAGCUCGAUUAUCAGCUUUACUGCAGAUUGGUGAAUAGAUGUAUUGAUAGAGAUUAUAUAACACUGUUUGUGGUAGGCUAGAAUUUGAUUUCCUUAUGGAAUCUGAUUUUCCUA